AUCCCCGGCACCGACACCUGCAUCAAGAUCAGCGGCUACAUGCGCGCCGAUGCGAACAUCAACGGCGGAGCCUACAACAAACCCGGCUGGGAUCAGACCGAAGGCCAAGGCACCAAAUCCCGCGACCGCGACUAUUUCACCACGCGUAUACGCACCGAACUUCAGAUCGAUACACGCACACAGACUGAAUAUGGCGUCCUGCGGACC
rnacentral:misc_RNA from 1 species